GUGGAAACGGAUAAACCAGCAAAAUUGGUAGAUAACACAUUUCAUCACCUCCAAAGGUUUUGCUCCUUCACUCAAACAAUGGCUGCUUCCCCCUCGUCCUUCUCUUUCUUUUCUUCCUCCAUUUUCCUCUCUAACCCCAACAUCCAAUCCUCAAAGCACCUCCUUUUCAGAUCCCCCAAACAACUCUCUGUCGCUGCCAUUGCCACCAUCCGUUCAGAGGUCGCCACUAUUCCAAUUCUGUCCUUCGAUGGUGCCGAGGUGGGCUCCACCACUCUCAAUCUAAAAUCUGCCCCUCUAGAUACCGCACGCGCCGUCGUCCAUCGUGGGCUCACCACCGACCUCCGCAACCAACGCCGCGGCACUGCCUCCACUCUCACACGCUCAGAAGUCCGGGGCGGUGGUAUCAAACCUUACCCUCAAAAGAAAACGGGCCGAGCUCGCCGCGGUUCAAAUCGAACUCCUUUGCGGCCCGGUGGUGGGGUUGUGUUUGGACCGAAGCCAAAGGACUGGUCAGUUAAAAUCAACAAAAAGGAAAAGAGACUGGCCAUUUCUACGGCGCUUUCAAGUGCUUCGGAGAAUACUAUCGUUGUAGAAGAGUUUAAUGAUAAAUUUGAAAAGCCAAAGACUAAGGAAUUUAUUGAAUUGAUGAGGAGGUCGGGGUUUGGACCCUAAAGAGAAAUCUUUUUUGAUGACGGAGGUUUCAGACAAUGUGAUUCUGUCCAGCAGAAACAUUGGGACUUUGAAAAUGUUGACUCCAAGAAGGUUGAAUCUGUUUGACAUAUUGGAUUCUGAGAAGCUGGUUUUAACUAAAUCGGCUGUGGAUUUCUUGAAUGAGCGGUAUGGCGAUGAAAAUGAAUGGGAGGAUGAGGAAGGAGACGACCAAGAUGGUUAG